GGCGGAUCGCCUUGAGUUGAUAUGGCUCGAACGAACGCUGGCGGCGUGCCUAACACAUGCAAGUCGAGCGCGAAUGGGAGCAAUCCCUAGUAGAGCGGCGCACGGGUGCGUAACACGUGGGUAAUCUGCCUCGAAGACCGGGACAACCUGCCGAAAGGCUGGCUAAUACCGGAUGAGACCACGGGAGCUUCGGCUCUCGCGGGAAAAGGUGGCCUCUGCAUGCAAGCUAUCACUUCGAGAUGAGCCCGCGGCCCAUCAGCUAGUUGGCGGGGUAAUGGCCCACCAAGGCAACGACGGGUAGCUGGUCUGAGAGGACGAUCAGCCACACUGGAACUGAGACACGGUCCAGACUCCUACGGGAGGCAGCAGUGGGGAAUUUUGCACAAUGGGCGCAAGCCUGAUGCAGCAACGCCGCGUGUGUGAUGAAGGUCUUCGGAUUGUAAAGCACUUUCGACCGGGACGAAACCCGGUGACCCAACACGUCACCGCCUGACGGUACCGGGAGAAGAAGCACCGGCUAACUCUGUGCCAGCAGCCGCGGUAAUACAGAGGGUGCAAGCGUUGUUCGGAAUUAUUGGGCGUAAAGCGCGUGUAGGCGGCAGGGCAAGUCGGGUGUGAAAGCCCUCGGCUCAACCGAGGAAGUGCGCCCGAAACUGCUGUGCUUGAGUGCCGGAGAGGGUCGCGGAAUUCCCCAAGUAGAGGUGAAAUUCGUAGAUAUGGGGAGGAACACCGGUGGCGAAGGCG
rnacentral:rRNA from 1 species